rnacentral:rRNA from 1 species
CCCCUAGUAACGGCGAGUGAAGCGGGAAGAGCUCAAAUUUGAAAUCUGGCGGUCUAAGGCCGUCCGAGUUGUAAUCUAGAGAGGUGUUUUCCGUGCCGGACCGUGUACAAGUCCCUUGGAACAGGGCGUCAUAGAGGGUGAGAAUCCCGUCCAUGACACGGACUACCGGUGCUCUGUGAUACACCUUCAAAGAGUCGAGUUGUUUGGGAAUGCAGCUCAAAAUGGGUGGUAAAUUCCAUCUAAAGCUAAAUACAGGCGAGAGACCGAUAGCGAACAAGUACCGUGAGGGAAAGAUGAAAAGAACUUUGGAAAGAGAGUUAAACAGUACGUGAAAUUGUUGAAAGGGAAACGCUUGAAGUCAGUCGCGUCUGCCGGGACUCAGCCUUGCUUCUGCUUGGUGCACUUCUCGGUGGAUGGGCCAGCAUCGAUUUUGAUUGCCGGAAAAGGGCGGGAGGAAUGUGGCAGCUUUUGCUGUGUUAUAGCCUUCUGUCGUACACGGUGGUUGGGAUCGAGGACUGCAGCACGCCUUUGGUCGGGGUUCGCCCACGCCACGUGCUUAGGAUGCUGGCGUAAUGGCUUUAA